GGCGCGCGCACCCAUUGGCCGGCGUUCGCCACGGCGCGCUUCUCAUUGGCCAGUGUGGCUGUCGCGGCGUCCUGAGGCGCGCGGUGGAGGAGGGAUUUCCGUCUGGCGCUGCCUACGAAGGGCUAGAUGGCAGGUGAGACCCGGGUGGCCAGCGAUGGCUGCGGUAUGGUCCAGGUGGUGUCCGGAUCACGGAGGCCAACUGAAGGCGGUGGUGGAAGAGCCAUGCACCUUGUGGAGCGCAUGUUGUGUGCCCGCCCCUGUCUGUCAUGUCCCCGGCGUCCACCGCCCUAUGAGGUUCUCCCGUAUAAUUCUUGAAACAUCUCUGUGAGAAGGGAGCAAUGAUCAUUGUCACCAUGAAGAAUGAAGUCCUUCAUUUAUUCAUCUAUACUUUAUUGUUGGUAUUAAUAAACUAUCUUUUAGAACA